rnacentral:snoRNA from 1 species
GUCCUCUCAGGGUCACACCUGGAGAGUUCCCAGUAUUCUACCAGUCUCGACUACAGGAGGGAGAGUCAGGCAGAGGCCUACCCAUUCCAUUCCUAGCUUGGGCAGUGGCUAGCGAGUGGAAGGCCAUCUGCUACAAGU